GUACUGAUGAAGAGUCCCAAACUAGGACGAAACAGCUGUUCAGCAC
rfam:Trichobilharzia regenti genome assembly, scaffold: TRE_scaffold0002509